CGCAGGAAGGUAGAUGAACCCGGUGAAUGGUAGAACCGGGGUAAGCGUGUAGGAGGAGGACCAGGCAAAUCCGGGCCUCAUAUACUCUGAGACGUGAUACCGAGCCGCUUCAGGCGAAGUCAUUAAUCCUAUGCUGCCUAGAAAAGCCCAGUAGCGAGUUGACAUGGUGCCCGUACCCCAAACCAACACAGGUGGACAGGUAGAGCAUACCAAGGCGAGUGGGAUAACUAUGGUUAAGGAACUCGGCAAAUUUCCUCCGUAACUUCGGGAUAAGGAGGACCCCAGUAGCGUGACGAGACUUGCUCUCCGAGCGUGAAGGGGUGGCACAAAAUUGAGGGAAGCGACUGUUUACCAAAAACACAGCAGCGUGCUAAGCCGUAAGGCGCUGUAUACGCUGUGACUCCUGCCCGGUGCUGGAAGGUUACGGGGAUGGGUUAGUCCUUUGGGACGAAGCUCUGAACCUAAGCCCCAGUAAACGGCGGCCGUAACUAUAACGGUCCUAAGGUAGCGAAAUUCCUUGUCGGGUAAGUUCCGACCUGCACGAAUGGAGUAACGACUUCCCUACUGUCUCAACCAUAGACCCAGCGAAAUUGAAGUACGAGUAAAGAUGCUCGUUAGCUGCAGAAGGACGGAAAGACCCCGUGGACCUUUACUAUAACUUGAUGUUGUGUUUUGUCAUAUGUUGUGUAGGAUAGGUGGGAGACAAGGAAGCAUGGACGCUAGUCUGUGUGGAGUCAUCGUUGAAAUACCACCCUGCAUAUGGUGAGGCUCUAACCUAGACCCGUUAUCCGGGUUGGGGACAGCGUCAGGCGGGUAGUUUAACUGGGGCGGUUGCCUCCUAAAGAGUAACGGAGGCGCCCAAAGGUUCCCUCAGCCUGGUUGGCAAUCAGGCGUCGAGUGCAAUGGCAAAAGGGAGCUUGACUGCGAGACCUACAAGUCGAGCAGGAGCGAAAGCUGGGCAUAGUGAUCCGGCGGUUGCGUGUGGAAGCGCCGUCGCUCAACGGAUAAAAGGUACCCCGGGGAUAACAGGCUAAUCUUGCCCAAGCGUCCAUAGCGACGGCAAGGUUUGGCACCUCGAUGUCGGCUCAUCGCAUCCUGGGGCUGAAGCAGGUCCCAAGGGUUGGGCUGUUCGCCCAUUAAAGCGGUACGCGAGCUGGGUUCAGAACGUCGUGAGACAGUUCGGUCCCUAUCCUCUGUAGCCGUAGGUGAAUUGAGGAAAGCUGUCCCUAGUACGAGAGGACCGGGACGGACGCAGCUCUCGUGUGCCAGUUGUCCUGCCAAGGGCAUGGCUGGUUAGCGACCUGCGGAAAGGAUAACCGCUGAAAGCAUCUAAGCGGGAAGCCUCUUCCAAGAUGAAUUCACCCACAGGGUUAACCUGGUAAGGCCCGUGGUAGACCACCACGUUGAUAGGCCGGAAGUGUAAGCGUGGCAGCACGUUCAGCUGACCGGUACUAAUCGGCCGAGGGCUUGAACU
rnacentral:rRNA from 1 species